rnacentral:rRNA from 1 species
UACGUAGGGUGCAAGCGUUAAUCGGAAUUACUGGGCGUAAAGCGUGCGCAGGCGGUUGUGCAAGACAGAUGUGAAAUCCCCGGGCUCAACCUGGGAACUGCAUUUGUGACUGCACAGCUUGAGUGCGGCAGAGGGGGAUGGAAUUCCGCGUGUAGCAGUGAAAUGCGUAGAUAUGCGGAGGAACACCGAUGGCGAAGUCAAUCCCCUGGGCCUGCACUGACGCUCAUGCACGAAAGCGUGGGGAGCAAACAGG